rnacentral:lncRNA from 1 species
CUGAAUUAUGAGAACUUGGCAAAUUGAAAUGGAAAUAUUAUAGCAAAAGACUGGUUUAGUCUUUAUGUAAGACAUCAUGAAUCGUGUCCCAUAUGCUUCGGAUAUAGGAUCGAUUACAUGUGCUAUAUUCAUCCGUUCUAAAAUUUUCCAAAUGCCUGGGGCAUUAAGAAGGGAAAAGGUUUAGAACUGGAUAUGACUAAAAGGAUUAAACAAUUGUCGAGGACAAUCUAAGGUUUACCAAAGAUUGGUUGCUCAAGGACAGUUGGAAGUAUAGUGAUAAUUCUGGAAGGACCAUAUUGACAUAAUCUGUAAGGAGGCAACUCUUGUUCAGAAGUGAUAGUCAAAAUGGAAUCUGGAAAUGUUUCAAAGUUAGAAUUUUCAAUCUGUUUAAGAUUAGGAAACUUAAUGCAAGAAGGAUGUUUCCAAGGAGCUGAUCUCCUUUGGAAUACUCUGUAAUGAUUGUUGUCAAGUCUUUCUGACUUUGUGCAUAAUCAUUACAAGAGGAUCAAUGCAUAUAAGUUUAGAAUCUAACAGAUUUCAGUAAAUGGCAUGAAUUUGGAAUUCUUGCAUUUGCAGUAAGGAUUUGGGAGUGUGAAAAGAGAAUCAUUGAAGUUAUGUUCAAUUGAUCUAGUUCACAAAGUAAAGAUCAUAGACAAACAUAGUAUGCAUACUUGGUGUGUGGCAUGACUAGUGUUUAAGAAAACAUAGUGUACAUGCUUGGAGCAUGGGACAACUAUUGUUUUAAAUUCAAGAAUAAAGUUGAUAGCUGAAACAGUAUACAAUGAAUAAUGUGUAAUCAUAUGGUGAUAAAUAAAAGGUGUUUUAUUUAUGUUCAAAGGGUUGAUACCAUAUUGGAUUCAAUUAUUAUUGUGUUUCACUUUGCAUGUUUUGACUUCCCGAAUAAACUAGGUUAUUCUUCCGGAAUGACUAAGUUAUUCAAACCAUCCACAGUCGGUCAUAUGUUGGAAGUAGAUAUGAAUUAAGACUGUCAUGGGUUGGCUUGUAGAGGUCUAAGGUGUUGGACAAAGGGCUACAACACUCAUGAGUGCUCAUAAGUUCUGAGUAUUGGAUUCAACCCGCGCUCAUUGGAAUCACUUCAUGGAUUUUAUCACGAGUGAUCAUGAGACGAUAAUAUCUUAUAUUCUUCAAACCUAGAGAUAUGAGUUGUUACUAUGAGUUGAUAGUACAUUGAUUGCACGAAAACGCAUUUGGUAACUCGGUGCUAUAAAACGUGCCUUUGUGUAUGAUUCAACAAGUAGUAGAACAAGCCAUAUGAGUCGAAGUUUAUCCGUUCCUUUUACCUUCGGGAUAAAAGCGAUAUCUGUGGGCCCCUCGAUGAUUUGAUGAUGACAAAUGGAAGUGCUCGGCCGGGCCAGGACUGAUUUGAUUUGUUCAAUUAGUCAGUCGUCAUAAAUCGGAAAUCGGGAAACAACAAAUGGACAGAGAGAAUGAUUAUAAUCCAUGUCUCAGUCCAUAUGAUAUCUAGAAUGGAGGAAUAUAUGAUCCCUUAUCUAAUGGACAAGUCAUUGACAAAGGUCAGAGUUCAUCUACAAGGUCAGAGUUCGACAGAAGCUUUUGAGAGCUACGAUUGCCAGUUGGUUCCUGAAGUCAUACGCAAUAAUAGUUUUAGACUUAUCCAAGUGGGAGACUGUUGGAUUAAUGUCUAAGUCCAUAACUAUAAUUGGUAAGACUUGACCCGACCCGGCAUGGUCCAUUUGGGUUGCAUACCAUCAUGCACUUGGAUAGACUAUAAUGAGAGAAAUAAGACACUUAUGGUUAUUAAUAUAUUAUAAGUUCUAGUAUAUUAAUAAUAAGAAUAAUAAGAUUAUUUAAUUAGUAUUGAUCAAGAAUUAAUCUAGGAUUAAUUAAGUGAUCAAAAGAAGACUAAUUAAAUAUAUGGGUUGAUUGUGUAAAUCAUCCAUACUUGUAUAGUGGGCUAAUGCUCCAUGGAUAAUCAAGUUGGGCUAAAACCCAUAGGAUGGUCCAUGGAUGCUCCAUGGUGUAUUUGUACCCAUGGAUCCAAGGAAAUGGAAAGCCAUGACAAUUAAGAGUUUACCCUAAUUGUGUAACUAUAUAAGCAUCUUAUUAUUGAGGAAAAAUCGGCCACUAGAGAUAGUGAAGAAAGGGCUAGCCGAUUUUGAUGAGUGUAGAAUUCUCUCAAGUCAUUCUAAGUGUUUUGAUGAUUGUGAUUCCAUUUGAGGUGUCACACUUGGGGCACUAGGCACUCAAGCUUCAUGAAGACUUUCUACACCAAAGAGGUAUGUAUUCUAUCUUGCUAUAGUUAUUGUUUUGUAUGCUAGAUUAGGAUAAUACCUUGGAAGUUCUUAUUUGCAUGUAUAAUAGAGAAAACAUAGAUCCAAGGUAUUUAGGGUUGCAUGUACACUUAGGAAGUGUUAGAAUGCUCAAAACCCAACAGUGGUAUCAGAGCCACGGGUUGUUUUCUGUUAUAUUGAUGCAAAUAUUUUAUUUUCAAAGUUGAAAAAAAAAAAAAAAAAAAACAUGAAGUUUGUCAAAUUUUAAGAUAAUUACUUGUUCUUGUGAAAAACUAAUUAUUUGUAAAAUUUGAAUAAUUUGCUUUAUGAGUUGAAUUAGGUCAAAUUUAAUAAAAGAUAAAAUAAUAUGAUUAUUUUAUUAGUUUUAAAAGUUUGAUCUAAAGAGUUUUAUUUUUUGAAACCUCCAUAAGUUAUGGAUAUGAAAAGGUUUUAAAAAAAAAAUUGAUUCAAAGUUUUUUUGGAGUUACAAAAUUUGGUGUUAAUGUUUUAAAGGAUUCCAUAACUUAAGAAUAAGUUAUGGAUCACCAAAAGUUUUUUGUGUUACCUUGUUUUAUGAGUGAAUUUAGAUUAAUGAAUAAAAUUAUGUGAUAGUUGGUUUUAAUCCAAAUUAAUCUAAGAAUUGAUUCUAAAAUGUGUUUUUGUAACUUGUCCUCAAGUUAUAUGAAAAGUCACAUUUAAGAAUCAUAAAACUCAUAAAAAUUGGCAAAGGUUACAAAAAUGAAGAGUCUAGUUCUAAUUAAAUGGUUUUAUGACUCCAUAACUUGUCCUCAAGUUAUGGAGGACCAAGAGUCUCUUCAUUUAAUAAAAUAAAAUAAAAAAAAAAAAAGUGUAACCUUAAUUAAUUCCAUAAGUUAUAAAAUAAAGAAAAGUUAAUUCUUUUAUUAGUUUAAAGUCUUCCAUAACUUGUCCUCAAGUUAUGGAACUUGAAGAGUUUUUGGAUUAAAACUACUUUAAACACAUAAGUUAUGGAAUUAAUUAGUUUUGAAUAGUUUCAAAACUUGCCCUCAAGUUUUGGAAUUUGUAAAGUUUUCACUUAUGAAUACUUUAAUUCCAAGUUAGCCCUUAGAAUUUUAAAAGUUAAAAUUCAACCCUUAUACUUUAUAAUAUUAUAAGUUAAUAAUAUAUAUAUGUAUAAGAGUAAAGUCAGUCUUACCGCUAGUACGCCUCAUUCACGAAGCCGGUCUAUAAGGUGGGUAUAAGGUUGUUGCCUAUAAAAUGGCAACUUAAUGGGUGUCCACUCUCACCCACCGCUUGCUUGACUGGUGGAGGGUCGUUAGCCGAACGGGUUUGACAGGACUAGAAUUCUCCCUUCAUUAAAAGUAUUAAUGAUAAUACUAAGUAACUAAACUCUUAAUAAUACCCAAUCUUAGUUACUUAGGAAAAAUGUGAAUAAGGUGCUAAUCCAUGAAAUUACACUUUACACUUUGUCUAAGUCGUUAGUGGAGCGUGUGUGGUUAACCGGCACACUAACUUGGACUUAACAAGGUAGGUAAAGGGUGACUUAAUAUUUAUCAUAGUAUCGAUGGAGCGUGUGUGGUUAACCGGCACAUCGAUUGAGGGGUAAUUUAUUAAGGGUACCAAGUGAUUUGCAUGGUUACUUCACACCUUGUUUUGUGAUCCUCGGCAUCCCAGUCACAAAACCUGAAGGGCACACUCGAGAUUGAAACAUGCCUUUGAAAAGUUCAAUGAAUCUCAAAGAUCUAGGAGUUUCAAAACCAAUUAAAACCUAAUAAUACAUUUCGUUUAUCUUGGUGGAAAUUGGUGAAUCGUCAUUCACCUACCUUCAAAUAUUUUAUAGCUUGGAUUACGGCAUACCUCUUCUAAGUUAUAAAAUAGUUUGUUGGGUCCUAGCCUUAAUAUUUCAUAUUGGGUGUCAUAUUAAGGACUUUAAAUCAACUAUCUUGAAUAUCUCCCAAAAGAUGUCUGGUUUAGACACCUAUGAUCUUCCCAAAUCUCUUGAAACAAGGUUUCCUAAUGAAGAUGAUGUCCCAUGGAUAUCAUACUUCUUCACCUCUUCCAAUUAUUCUCCCUAACCCACAAGUUCUUGAAAAGUUUAAGGUCACUCAGGCCCUAUUGGCAAGGCAAGGUCUAGGUGUGGUCACAUCUUGGAGAUGUAGUCACAUAUUGACAAGCCGGGAGAGUUGGGUGUCAAAGUCUUGAGAAAGUUGGUGGUUCAACUACUUUCUAAGUCACAUAGUGAGUUCUUUUGGAACACCUAUGAAAAAGACUAUGACAAGACCCUUAAUGAUCUUAUCUAUUUGUUAAGAUCAACUUCCUAAAACUUUAUGGACAUUGACAAUGAUGACAUUGGAUAUCCAGUAAAGCAUUCUCUUCCCAAUGGAAAGGGAUCGGCUAUAGUCAACUCGGUUGACCAAAUGGUAAAGAGAAAAGCUAAGUCUGUGAUAGUCCUGUGUACCAUUAUCAAAGGGUCCAUAUGUUUGUAUUGCCAAAGAAAGGGCAUUGGUUGCGAAGCUGCCAAAUUUACCUAAGGAUGUUAAAGUCAAUAAGUUUGACUCUACUUCAGGUAAAAUCCACUAUCUAACUCUGUUAAGUUUCUAUUCUGAGAUUCUUGAUACAUGAUGUGACCGGGUCGCAUGGUGAUGGUUUAAGAAUCAAAGGAAAGUGAAGAAACUUAAAGAAAGAAUAUGCUGAAUCUGAUCGCAUAGAUGGAUUUCUAUCGCAUAGUUUGAAAAAUCGGAUUCUUGAGCUACUUCUUAGGAGUUAUGAGAUAUUGCUUACGAAUAGAUAACACCAAGUUUUCAUAUGGAUUGUAAGGAUAAGCUUUUCCGCGAAGUUUUAAAUAAAAGGAAAUUUUUGAUUUUAUUUAUUUUAAAAUAUCCUUACAAUGGCAUCUGUGGAAAUUUUUGUUGCUUAUAAGAUUCCAUUAGUAGCAAGAGUGGAAGUAUGAAAUUGAUUCUUUCAUUUGUGGUAAUGUCUAAAUUUACCAAAUAAGGAAAGAUUCUCAUCACCCAAGUUUCAAUUGGACCGGAACUUGGAAUCAUGCAAGUUGUAUAGCAUGAUGAAUGAGAACUUUCAAGUUUUGGAAAAUUAAGACUAAUUACUUGUUCACAUGGAUGUGUGAGUCAAGUAAAGGACUUAGGGAUCGAGUACACAUUCUUGUGCACUGAUUAAGUCCACCACUAAAGAUCGAUAAGAAGAAUCAAAUAAGGCAGAAGGAUAAAAGUUUCUCAAAUCUGAAAAGAUGGGAGAGUACUUUAGUAUCAUGUUUUAAGACCAUCUUAAUGAUUUUGAGACCUUAUCACAAUUCAUCCUCUAAGUGCAUUAUGAUAGCUAAGAAGAGGAAUCUUGGAUAGUUGAAAUGGUUAAAUCAAGUAGAUGAGUCAUACUUCGUUGCAAUAUAAGUCUUAGAGUCAUACUCCAAGAUUGUCAUUUGAGUGACAUGUCUUAAAGAAGGUUUAAAACACUUGUCAAAUGUAAGAGUAAAAGUUUUCUACUCUUGUACAUUUGAAAUUGGUAAGUUGUGAUGUUUUGGAUAAAACAAAGACCAACUUAGGCCAAUUGGGUAAAGUGUUUUUCUUGAUUAGAAUCCGCACUAUCUCUUGGAUGUUUGACAAGGGAGUCUUAUAUGUCAAGAGGACAGUGGGAGUCUUAAAGGUCUUGAAAGUCUCAAGAACUAAUCAAGAAUAAAACCUGAAGUUCUUCACUAGCACACGACUUGAGGUUCAUAACCUAUCGUGUUGACAUAUUCUGUGCCCAUUCCAGUUAAAGUUGGCUUUGCAUAUGAGUUCUUAGAGUUCUCAAUUUGUUGCACAACAACUUGGAAGCAAUGGCAGGCCCUUGAGCUGCCAGGUGGCAAGAAAUUAAGAUUGAGUUCAGUCCAUAUGAGUUUGGAUUUGUCAUUAUCCUUGUCUUGUGACUAUGGUUUUGACAAUUCACAUGGAUAAGAACACAUACACCAUUAAAUCUAAGUGUCAUAAGGUUUCUCUCCGAUUCAUGAAAAUGAUGGUGAGGAAACACUUUCACUAAGUAGAUUUUAGCUAGAUAGCAAUUGUGAUAUUUGCAUUCUCAAAGUCGUUAGUGGAGCGUGUGUGGUUUACCGGCACACUAACCUGGACUUGUGAGAAGUGGCAAAAAGGUCUAACCAUUAUGAUUACGGCAUACCUCUUCAUAAUUGUUUAGACACACAAGUGUGCUAUCUAAGGGAAGGUGUAUGAUUUUGAUAAAGUUUUAUCAAAACAAUCUAGCAUCAGAAAUCUGAACUUUGGUAAGAAAGUCAAUGAAGUAUUGAUUUCUAGAAGUCCAGCUGAUUUCUGAGUACAUGUCAAAGCUAGUGGGAGCAUAAGUGUUAUGCUAAUAAUCAUCAUGUUAGUGGGAGCAUGAUAAUUAUGAUAAGUAUUGCAAGUUAGCAAUGUUAAUUAUAGAAAACAAAAGUUUCAAUUGGGAAAAAGUUGUUUUGCUAUAAUUAAGGGAGAGGAAAUUAUACUUCAUCUCAAAUCUAUAAGCUUAGAUCGUGAGGUUUUAAUCAUUUAGUCAAGGAUAUAUAUGAAUUUCAUGUUGGAAUGGCUCAACAUAAGGAAAUUCUGUAUAUGGGUCCAUUAUUUGCGUUCUAAAAUUCGAUUAUGAUUACGGCAUCCCUUUUCAUAAUCUGAAUUAUGAGAACUUGGCAAAUUGAAAUGGAAAUGUUAUAGCAAAAGACUGGUUUAGUCUUUAUGUGAGACAUCAUGAAUCGUGUCCCAUAUGCUUCGGAUAUAGGAUCGAUUACAUGUGCUAUAAUCAUCCGUUCUAAAAUUUUCCAAAUGCCUGGGGCAUUAAGAAGGGAAAAGGUUUAGAACUGGAUAUGACUAAAAGGAUUAAACAAUUGUCGAGGACAAUCUAAGGUUUACCAAAGAUUGGUUGCUCAAGGACAGUUGGAAGUAUAGUGAUAAUUCUGGAAGGACCAUAUUGACAUAGUCUGUAAGGAGGCAACUCUUGUUCAGAAGUGAUAGUCAAAAUGGAAUCUGGAAAUGUUUCAAAGUUAGAAUUUUCAAUCUGUUUAAGAUUAGGAAACUUAAUGCAAGAAGGAUGUUUCCAAGGAGCUGAUCUCCUUUGGAAUACUCUGUAAUGAUUGUUGUCAAGUCUUUCUGACUUUGUGCAUAAUCAUUACAAGAGGAUCAAUGCAUAUAAGUUUAGAAUCUAACAGAUUUCAGUAAAUGGCAUGAAUUUGGAAUUCUUGCAUUUGCAGUAAGGAUUUGGGACUGUGAAAGAGGAUCAUUGGAGUUAUGUUCAAUUGAUCUAAUUCACAAAGUAAAGAUCAUAGACAAACAUAGUAUGCAUACUUGGUGUAUGGCAUGACUAGUGUUUAGAAAACAUAGUGUACAUGCUUGGAGCAUGGGACAACUAUUGUUUUAAAUUCAAGAAUAAAGUUGAUAGCUGAAACAGUAUACAAUGAAUAAUGUGUAAUCAUAUGGUGAUAAAUAAAAGGUGUUUUAUUUAUGUUCAUAGGUGUUGAUACCAUAUUGGAUUCAAUUAUUAUUGUGUUUCACUUUGCAUGUUUUGACUUCCCGAAUAAACUAGGUUAUUCUUCCUGAAUGACUAAGUUAUUCAAACCAUCCACAGUCGGUCAUAUGUUGGAAGUAGAUAUGAAUUAAGACUGUCAUGGGUUGGCUUGUAGAGGUCUAAGGUGUUGGACAAAGGGCUACAACACUCAUGAGUGCUCAUAAGUUCUGAGUAUUGGAUUCAACCCGCGCUCAUUGGAAUCACUUCAUGGAUUUUAUCACGAGUGAUCAUGAGACGAUAAUAUCUUAUAUUCUUCAAACCUAGAGAUAUGAGUUGUUACUAUGAGUUGGUUGUACAUUGAUUGCACAAAAACACAUUCGGUAACUCGAUGUUAUAAAACGUUCCUUUGUGUAUGAUUCAAC